rnacentral:rRNA from 1 species
GGACUGCCUUUUGCAUAAUGAGCCUGCGAGUUGUGGUGUCUGGCAAGGUUAAGCAAACGCGAAGCCGUAGCGAAAGCGAGUCUGAAUAGGGCGCUUAGUCAGAUGCUGCAGACCCGAAACGAAGUGAUCUAUCCAUGAGCAAGUUGAAGCUAGUGUAAGAACUAGUGGAGGACUGAACCCAUAGGCGUUGAAAAGCCCCGGGAUGACUUGUGGAUAGGGGUGAAAGGCCAAUCAAACUUCGUGAUAGCUGGUUCUCUCCGAAAUAUAUUUAGGUAUAGCGUUGUGUCGUAAUAUAAGGGGGUAGAGCACUGAAUGGGCUAGGGCAUACACCAAUGUACCAAACCCUAUCAAACUCCGAAUACCUUAUAUGUAAUCACAGCAGUCAGGCGGCGAGUGAUAAAAUCCGUCGUCAAGAGGGAAACAACCCAGACUACCAGCUAAGGUCCCUAAAUCUUACUUAAGUGGAAAACGAUGUGAAGUUACUUAAACAACCAGGAGGUUGGCUUAGAAGCAGCCAUCCUUUAAAGAAAGCGUAAUAGCUCACUGGUCUAGUGAUUUUGCGCGGAAAAUAUAACGGGGCUAAAGUAAGUACCGAAGCUGUAGACUUAGUUUACUAAGUGGUAGGAGAGCGUUCUAUUUGCGUCGAAGGUAUACCGGUAAGGAGUGCUGGAGCGAAUAGAAGUGAGCAUGCAGGCAUGAGUAGCGAUAAUUAAUGUGAGAAUCAUUAACGCCGUAAACCCAAGGUUUCCUACGCGAUGCUCGUCAUCGUAGGGUUAGUCGGGUCCUAAGUCGAGUCCGAAAGGGGUAGACGAUGGCAAAUUGGUUAAUAUUCCAAUACCAACAUUAGUGUGCGAUGGAAGGACGCUUAGGGCUAAGGGGGCUAGCGGAUGGAAGUGCUAGUCUAAGGUCGUAGGAGGUUAUACAGGCAAAUCCGUAUAACAAUACUCCGAGAACUGAAAGGCUUUUUGAAGUCUUCGGAUGGAUAGAAGAACCCCUGAUGCCGUCGAGCCAAGAAAAGUUUCUAAGUUUAGCUAAUGUUGCCCGUACCGUAAACCGACACAGGUGGGUGGGAUGAGUAUUCUAAGGCGCGUGGAAGAACUCUCUUUAAGGAACUCUGCAAAAUAGCACCGUAUCUUCGGUAUAAGGUGUGGUUCGCUUCGUAUUAGGAUUUACUCCGAAAGCGAAGAAACUUACAACAAAGAGUCCCUCCCGACUGUUUACCAAAAACACAGCACUCUGCUAACUCGUAAGAGGAUGUAUAGGGUGUGACGCCUGCCCGGUGCUCGAAGGUUAAUUGAUGGGGUUAGCAUUAGCGAAGCUCUUGAUCGAAGCCCGAGUAAACGGCGGCCGUAACUAUAACGGUCCUAAGGUAGCGAAAUUCCUUGUCGGUUAAAUACCGACCUGCAUGAAUGGCGUAACGAGAUGGGAGCUGUCUCAAAGAGGGAUCCAGUGAAAUUGUAGUGGAGGUGAAAAUUCCUCCUACCCGCGGCAAGACGGAAAGACCCCGUGGACCUUUACUACAGCUUGACACUGCUACUUGGAUAAGAAUGUGCAGGAUAGGUGGGAGGCUUUGAGUAUAUGACGCCAGUUGUAUAUGAGCCAUUGUUGAGAUACCACUCUUUCUUAUUUGGGUAGCUAACCAGCUUGAGUUAUCCUCAAGUGGGACAAUGUCUGGUGGGUAGUUUGACUGGGGCGGUCGCCUCCCAAAUAAUAACGGAGGCUUACAAAGGUUGGCUCAGAACGGUUGGAAAUCGUUCGUAGAGUAUAAAGGUAUAAGCCAGCUUAACUGCAAGACAUACAAGUCAAGCAGAGACGAAAGUCGGUCUUAGUGAUCCGGUGGUUCUGUGUGGAAGGGCCAUCGCUCAAAGGAUAAAAGGUACCCCGGGGAUAACAGGCUGAUCUCCCCCAAGAGCUCACAUCGACGGGGAGGUUUGGCACCUCGAUGUCGGCUCAUCGCAUCCUGGGGCUGGAGCAGGUCCCAAGGGUAUGGCUGUUCGCCAUUUAAAGCGGUACGCGAGCUGGGUUCAGAACGUCGUGAGACAGUUCGGUCCCUAUCUGCCGUGGGCGUAAGAAGAUUGAAGAGAUUUGACCCUAGUACGAGAGGACCGGGUUGAACAAACCACUGGUGUAGCUGUUGUUCUGCCAAGAGCAUCGCAGCGUAGCUAAGUUUGGAAAGGAUAAACGCUGAAAGCAUCUAAGCGUGAAGCCAACUCUAAGAUGAAUCUUCUCUAAGCUCUCUAGAAGACUACUAGUUUGAUAGGCUGGGUGUGUAAUGGAUGAAAGUCCUUUAGCUGACCAGUACUAAUAGAGCGUUUGGCUUAUCUUU